UUUGUUUUUUUCUUUGAACCAGCUCUGAGCACCUGACUUUCAAGCCAAGAAAAUAUGCACUCAAACAAAGACAACGAUAAGCACAGUAGUAAAACUCCAUCGUGGGGUUGGUUGGGGGUUGUUUUUUGAGACACACCAAGGAAAUGGGGAAAAAAAAUAAUACAAAGUAAAGACACUUAAAAUCUUCAUCUUUUUCCUUUCUCUCAAGCCACUGGAGAAGCCUGUUGUCGUGUGUAUAACUUUCUGAUUGUUGAUACUCUAUACGGAAAGUAGCGCUUUGAACACUGAAGAAAUCGAGGAUUAAAAGCUACCAUGGCACAUUGCCUUUUCUUUUUAUCUUUUCUUCUUCUUCUUCUUUUUUAAAGGUCUUUGAUUAAUUUUGCUUGUUUCUGCUUUGUCGUUUGCGUUCGGCUCCUUUACAAAAGGAUGAGAUCAGGUUCUCUGGGGUGAACUCCGAUUGAAAACGUGAGCCCUCAGAAAUGGAGGGAUUUCUCCUCUGGGUCGGGGUGUAUGUUUAGAGGAAUUACGAACUUGAAAUGAAAACGACUAAAAAUAAAAACAGAAGAGGAACAAAAGAAGACGGCUGCAGUCGUAUUUACAGAGAUAUGUACAAUGUCAAUAAAUUAAAGUUUAAUUUCGAGUAUCCAUAUUCCACGUAUUUACAAGUUAUCAAAUAAUUACAUAAAUACUUUGUUUUAAUAAUAGUGUCCGCUCUUUUCUUCUUCUCAGUAUGUUUAAACCUUGUUAUUGCAUAUACAAUUAAAGAGGGAAAGCUUUGAUAAACCUACAGUCAAGCCAGAGGGUUGAAGAUAAAAUAAAUUCACUUCUUUUUCUCUUUCCAACUACACUUCUUAUUGGUGUUGCUACAGGGAGAAUGGUUUAAGGUAGUAGGUCUUAUUUUUGUUGUUUUUUUAAUUAUUAUUAUUAUUAGUAAUAUUUUUUUCCCUGGGAUUUGAAACGAGCAUUAAAAAAUAAACCAAACCCCACCGAAAUAAAAUAUAAUACACCACCCCACCCCCCCAAAUAAAAAGCAGGCUACUAUGGAACAUGCAAAACCAGCCACCGACUGGCUCUCAGACAUCACAAUAAUAUUUGAAACACACAGCUUCCCUUAAUAUUGACUAAGGGGGUUGUUGUUAACAACCCGCCCAGGAAACAACUGUUGAAGAACCGAUAUGCGAGUUACUUACACACUUUUCUUUCAGAAAGAAAAAACAAAUCACUUC
rnacentral:lncRNA from 1 species